GGCAAAGCAGUGAUGCAGAGCAAAUCCCCAAAAGCAGUCUUAGUUCGGAUUGUAGGCUGCAACUCGCCUACAUGAAGUCGGAAUUGCUAGUAAUCGCGGAUCAGCAUGCCGCGGUGAAUACGUUCCCGGGCCUUGUACACACCGCCCGUCACACCAUGGGAGUCGGUAACACCCGAAGCCUGUAGUCUAACCGCAAGGAGGACGCAGUCGAAGGUGGGAUUGAUGACUGGGGUGAAGUCGUAACAAGGUAAC
rnacentral:rRNA from 1 species